ACCUACACCAGAAAGAUACGGUCAACACAAUGGUCAAAGAAUCAUGUGAAACAAAAAGUGAGAAUCAGAGAAGGUUUUGGGUUUUGUCUGCGGCGGCUCUGCCAGAUUUUAAACACAAUUUCUGAUUCACCCGCCGUCCCUUUUGCCUUGAUAUGACCAUAGGGAGACUCUAAAUUGAAUUUUGAGUGGGAAGAAGAAAAUUUUACAUUUUUUGGCAGUCGAUGGUGACUCUGAUGCGACGGUGGCUGGUGGUCAGCCUCCUUCUCCAGCGUUUUGUUAUUCUUAUCCGGCGAGGGUUGGUGUGGCUAGAGUUAGGAUUUUUUGAAAUA
rnacentral:lncRNA from 1 species